UACGUAGGGGGCAAGCGUUGUCCGGAUUUACUGGGCGUAAAGAGCGUGUAGGCGGCCAAACAGGUCCGUUGUGAAAACUGGAGGCUCAACUUCCAGACGUCGACGGAAACCGUGUGGCUAGAGUCCGGAAGAGGAGAGUGGAAUUCCUGGUGUAGCGGUGAAAUGCGCAGAUAUCAGGAAGAACACCCGUGGCGAAGGCGGUUCUCUGGGACGGUACUGACGCUGAGACGCGAAAGCGUGGGGAGCGAACAGG
rnacentral:rRNA from 1 species